rnacentral:lncRNA from 1 species
GUCCGCGGUGAUGAAGGUCGUCUGAGACCGCUUCGACGCGCGAGACUUCCGCUUGGUGAUCUUUCCACCGACCGCCCCAGGAAUCGCGGUCCGGCGCUUCGGCGCAGUCUCGUGGUCCGAUCCCGAAACGCCGGAAACGCUGGGGGUCUGAGCCGUCUCGGGCUUAAGAAGAUCGUUCAGAAAGGGAGAGAUCGUGUCGCAUGCGACGUUGUCGGGGUGGUUUGAAAUAGAUUUCUGAAGAGCCUUGGUCAGAGUUUCGGUGUCGCGAGCAAAUGCCUCUGAUAUCCAGGAGUCAGCGAAAGUGUGACGAAACACCCAGGGAUCAACACUAGCCAAAUUGUCCGAUGACGCCAUUCUCACCUUAGUACUCAG